AGAUAAUGCGUUUGUUUUGACACACUGCCUCCCGGCCAGUCGGGUGGCUGGUACCGGGUACCCCCCUUAUCUGAGAGGAUGGUCCUUAUAGACAAUUGUGAAAAAAUC
ensembl:ncRNA F47F6.14 ncRNA